CAACUUUCAACAACGGAUCUCUUGGCUCUCGCAUCGAUGAAGAACGCAGCGAAAUGCGAUAAGUAAUGUGAAUUGCAGAAUUCAGUGAAUCAUCGAAUCUUUGAACGCACCUUGCGCCCUUUGGCAUUCCGAAGGGCACGCC
rnacentral:rRNA from 1 species